UACGAAGGGGGCUAGCGUUGCUCGGAAUCACUGGGCGUAAAGCGCACGUAGGCGGAUGUGUCAGUCAGGGGUGAAAUCCCGGGGGCUCAACCUCGGAACUGCCUUUGAUACAGCACGUCUCGAGUCUGGAAGAGGUGGGUGGAAUUCCUAGUGUAGAGGUGAAAUUCGUAGAUAUUAGGAAGAACACCGGUGGCGAAGGCGGCCCACUGGUCCGGUACUGACGGCUGAGGCACGAAAGCGUGGG
rnacentral:rRNA from 1 species